GAGAGGAUAGUUUAAUGGUAAAACAACGGUUUUCAAAACCGUAGUUAGGGGUUCAAGUCCCUUUCCUCUUG
rnacentral:tRNA from 1 species